rnacentral:rRNA from 2 species
CCUACGGGUGGCUGCAGUGGGGAAUUUUGGACAAUGGGGGCAACCCUGAUCCAGCCAUUCCGCGUGAGUGAAGAAGGCCUUCGGGUUGUAAAGCUCUUUCGGCAGGAACGAAACGGUGAGCUCUAACAUAGCUUGCUAAUGACGGUACCUGAAGAAGAAGCACCGGCUAACUACGUGCCAGCAGCCGCGGUAAUACGUAGGGUGCGAGCGUUAAUCGGAAUUACUGGGCGUAAAGCGUGCGCAGGCGGUUGUGUAAGACAGGUGUGAAAUCCCCGGGCUUAACCUGGGAACUGCGCUUGUGACUGCACAGCUAGAGUAUGGCAGAGGGGGGUGGAAUUCCACGUGUAGCAGUGAAAUGCGUAGAGAUGUGGAGGAACACCGAUGGCGAAGGCAGCCCCCUGGGCCAAUACUGACGCUCAUGCACGAAAGCGUGGGGAGCAAACAGGAUUAGAUACCCCUGUAGUC